rnacentral:lncRNA from 1 species
GCUUCAGCAAAAUCACUCUAGUUCUCCCCCAUGUGCAUGUUAAUAAAUUUGUAUGCCCUUUCUCCAAUUAAUCUGCCUUUUGUCAGUUGACUUUUCAGUGAAACUUCAGAGAACAAAAAGGAAGCUUUCCAUUGGCUACUACAGUGGCUUUAAUGGAAGUAAAGUCAUCAACGUUUAUUUUUGACAAAAUCACAGUUUAAUUGGCAGUAUAUUUGUUUUCUUUUUGUUUUAUUUGAGAUGGAGUCUCACUCUGUCGCCCAGGCUAGAGAGCAAUGGCGCGAUCUUGGCUCACUGCAGCCUCCGCCUCCCCAGUUCAAGCAUUCGCCUGCCUCAGCCUCCCGAGCAGUUGAGUAGUAGUAUAUUUGUAAUGGUACAUAAAAUAAUGUCUGUUUUUAAAUAAACAUUUACAUUGUGAAUCAAAAGUUAUCUCAACUCUCCAUCAAUUUUUUUUUUCUUUUUUGAGAUGGCAGAGAGAGAUUACAUCUCAAAAAAAAAAAAAAAAACUUGUUUGUUUUAUAUUUAAUAGUGGUAACUCCUCUGAAGACAUAGUUGUUUUAUUACACAAAAAAUAUUAAAUUUAUCUUAUUUAACUAAGUUGUAUCCAAAUCAUGUUAACUUGAAAAACAUUUGGAUCGGUUCUUAUAUUUCUAGGAGUUUGGGGAAUAUUUAUUUAUCAAUGAUUUUUUUUCCAAGCCAAGUUAGAAUAGAACACUUUUAGAGGAUUUUAUAAAUGAAUUUUGCAGUGCUAUCCAGAGUUAAGAAAAAUCACAUACAGAACAUACAUUAAUAGACAUACAAACACAAAUAGAGAUCUCAUAGCUUUCAUCCUGAAAUUUUAGUCACGAAUCAGGCAUAAAUAUUCUGACGGUUAAUUUUAGAUGUCUGCUGGAUUGGAUUAAGAGAUACUAACAUAGCUGGUAAAGCACAGUUUCUAGGCAUGAGUGUGAGGGUGUUUCUGGAAGACACUGAGAUAAGGAAGAUCCACUCUGACCCAAUGUGGAUGGGCACUGAUACGAUUUGACUGUGUCCCCACCCAGAUCUCAUCUUGAAUUUUAGCUCCUAUAAUCCUUACAUGUUGUGGGAGGGACCCGGUUGGGGACGACUGAAUCAUGGUGGUGGUUACUGCCAUGCUGUUCUCAUGAUAGUGAGUGAGUUCUCAUGGUAUAAUGAUUUUAUAAGGGGCUUUUCCCCUUUGGCUUAGCACUUCUUGCUGCUGCCAUGUGAAGAAAGAUAUCUUUGCUUCCCCUUCCAUCAUGAUUGUGAGGCCCCUCCAGCCAUGUGGAACUGUCAGUCCAUUAAACCUCUUUGUUCUUUGUAAAUUGCUCAGAGUCAGGUACUUCUUCAUAGCAGUAUAAAAACAGACGAAUACAGGCACCAUCCAAUUGCUUGAGAGCCCAGAUAGAACAAAAAGGAAGAGGAAAGGUGAAUUAUCUCCUUCUGAAACGGAAACAUCUUUCUCUUGCCUUUGACAUCAGAACUUCAGGGUCUCAGGCCUUUGGCCUCAGAACGAGAGUUACACCAUUGGCUUAACUGAUUCUGAGUCCUUUGGACAUGGACUGAGCAAUGCUACCAGCUUUCCUGGUUCCCCAACUUGGAGACAGCCUAUCAUGGACUUUCUCAGCCUUCAUAAUUAUGUGAACCUUCUCUCAUCUGUCUAUAUACAUAUAUCCUACAGAUUGUGCCUUUCUGGGGAACCCUGACUAAUGUGAUGACAAUAAUAAAAAAUUUACUAGUUU